CCUACGGGCGGCAGCAGUGGGGAAUAUUGGGCAAUGGAGGAAACUCUGACCCAGCAAAGCCGCGUGAAUGAAGAAGGUCUUCGGAUUGUAAAGCUCUUUAGUCAGGGAAGAACAAAAUGACGGUACCUGAAGAAUAAGUUUCCGCUAACUACGUGCCAGCAGCCGCGGUAAUACGUAGGGAGCAAGCGUUGUUCGGAAUGACUGGGCGUAAAGGGUGCGUAAGCGGGUACACAAGUGAGAAGGGGAAUACCCCGGGCUUAACUCGGGUGCUGCUUCUGAAACUGGCAGACUUGAGUGCAGUAGAGGUUAGUGGAAUUCCUUGUGUAGCGGUGAAAUGCGUAGAUAUUAGGAGGAACACCAGUGGCGAAGGCGGCUAACUGGACUGCAACUGACGCUGAGGCACGAAAGUGUGGGGAGCAAACAGGAUUAGAUACCCCUGUAGUC
rnacentral:rRNA from 1 species